rnacentral:rRNA from 1 species
AACGAACGCUGGCGGCAUGCCUAACACAUGCAAGUCGAACGAGACCUUCGGGUCUAGUGGCGCACGGGUGCGUAACGCGUGGGAACCUGCCCUUAGGUUCGGAAUAACUCCCCGAAAGGGGUGCUAAUACCGGAUAAUGUCUUCGGACCAAAGAUUUAUCGCCUUUGGAUGGGCCCGCGUUGGAUUAGCUAGUUGGUAGGGUAAAAGCCUACCAAGGCGACGAUCCAUAGCUGGUCUGAGAGGAUGAUCAGCCACACUGGGACUGAGACACGGCCCAGACUCCUACGCGAGGCAGCAGUGGGGAAUAUUGGACAAUGGGCGAAAGCCUGAUCCAGCAAUGCCGCGUGAGUGAUGAAGGCCUUAGGGUUGUAAAGCUCUUUUACCCGGGAUGAUAAUGACAGUACCGGGAGAAUAAGCGCCGGCUAACUCCGUG